UGGAUAAUAAUAGAGUCUAUAAGAGAUGGCCUUUCCGUAAUUCAAAGCUUUCUGGAUAGCGGCUUUCCAGAUAAUGGAUCCCAUACCUGUACUAUUCUUUCAAUAUCUGUUCAGCAUGACACCUAAUUCCUUUAUGGCAGCUCAUCAUGACCUAGUUCACAAUUGUCCAUAAUCAUUCAUACAAUGUCAUUGUUGCACAUUAGUUAUGUCACAAUAGGAAAGCUGCAUUUGUUUGUACUUUCUCUUAGGUGUGUUUAUAGCAUAUUGUUUCAUUGUGAGUGAGACAGGCUUUUACAAGAUAGACAAUUAGGUUCUACAGACACUUGGAAAAGAGAUUUGAUCAAUGUACCUUCACUGGAGGGUCCAUAGUGCCUGGAUUUCCUUUGAAUUUCAAUCUUUCUUUACCUCAGAAUUCAAGGUCUGACACAAUGCAGAUCUCUUUGUCAGUUAAACUGACGCUCUGCAGCUCACUUUGCCAGGCUCUGUUUGGGCUUCUGCAGAAUCUGUAUGCAACAAUUCUACCAACCCCUAUUGGGUCAUUUCUGCCCCACCUGCCCCUCCAAUACAAUAAGAUUGCCCUAUUUUUCAUUUUGUUCUUACCUCUUAGUGAAGAAAACACCUUCAGUUAUUCUGAGCCAGCCCAACUGUCAAAGGGUCCCUAACAUCCUAGAAGCUGACUGAAGCCAGUUCAUUCCAGUCAACAGGAAGUGAGUUUGAUUGACAGCUGUUCAGUCAGCUGGCAGCACUUUAUGACAUCAUAGUCACCUACAGUCCCUAACAUCCUAGAAGCUGACUGAAGCCAGUUCAUUCCAGUCAACAGGAAAGGGUCGGACUGUGAAGCUGCAGCUGCUGAUGGAAGUGAUACCCCAGGAGAUUCCCAGAGAGUCUGUUACCCUUGUCUCUUUAAAUGACUACAAUCCCUGCCAUAAAGCAAGGCAGGACUGCUGCUCUUUUGCCAGACAGGAAGUAGAGACAGUCACAUGAUGAUCCCCUCAAUCCUAUUUUACACAAUAUUUCCCAUCAGUUUGCGCAGAGCUGUACUCACUUAGCAUUGUAUUAAAGGGGCAUUCGAUUACGGAUCUUCAGAAGAA